UCAGAUUGCAGGCUGCAACCCGCCUGCAUGAAGUCGGAAUUGCUAGUAAUCGCGGAUCAGCAUGCCGCGGUGAAUACGUUCCCGGGCCUUGUACACACCGCCCGUCACACCAUGGGAGCCGGUAAUACCCGAAGUCAGUAGUCCAACCUCGUGAGGACGCUGCCGAAGGUAGGAUUGGCGACUGGGGUGAAGUCGUAACAAGGUAAC
rnacentral:rRNA from 1 species